GACGAACGCUGGCGGCGUGCUUAACACAUGCAAGUCGAACGGAAAGGCCCUGCUUUUGUGGGGUGCUCGAGUGGCGAACGGGUGAGUAACACGUGAGUAACCUGCCCUUGACUUUGGGAUAACUUCAGGAAACUGGGGCUAAUACCGGAUAGGAGCUCCUGCUGCAUGGUGGGGGUUGGAAAGUUUCGGCGGUUGGGGAUGGACUCGCGGCUUAUCAGCUUGUUGGUGGGGUAGUGGCUUACCAAGGCUUUGACGGGUAGCCGGCCUGAGAGGGUGACCGGCCACAUUGGGACUGAGAUACGGCCCAGACUCCUACGGGAGGCAGCAGUGGGGAAUAUUGCACAAUGGGCGGAAGCCUGAUGCAGAAACGUCGCGUGCGGGAUGACGGCCUUCGGGUUGUAAACCGCUUUCGCCUGUGACGAAGCGUGAGUGACGGUAAUGGGUAAAGAAGCACCGGCUAACUACGUG
rnacentral:rRNA from 1 species